CCUACGGGUGGCAGCAGUAAGGAAUAUUGGGCAAUGGAGGCAACUCUGACCCAGCCAUGCCGCGUGGAGGAUGAAGGCCCUCUGGGUUGUAAACUUCUUUUACAGGGGACGAAACCUUCCUUUUCCAAGGAAGUUGACGGUACCCUGGGAAUCAGCACCGGCUAACUCCGUGCCAGCAGCCGCGGUAAUACGGAGGGUGCAAGCGUUAUCCGGAUUCACUGGGUUUAAAGGGUGCGUAGGCGGGCAGGUAAGUCCGUGGUGAAAUCUCCGAGCUUAACUCGGAAACUGCCAUGGAUACUAUUUGUCUUGAAUACUGUGGAGGUGAGCGGAAUAUGUCAUGUAGCGGUGAAAUGCUUAGAGAUGACAUAGAACACCAAUUGCGAAGGCAGCUCACUGCGCAGUGAUUGACGCUGAGGCACGAAAGCGUGGGGAUCAAACAG
rnacentral:rRNA from 1 species